CUCGGCGGCCGGGCCGGAAAGAAAUACAGAUGCAAAAGCAGGACGUGGAUAAAUGAGAGAAGAUAAGGUAUUGCUCCUGCAAGCAGAACAUCCUGUCUUCGAGAUGGUGUUAUUGUUCUGUCAAGUAAUCGAGAGAUGAAGAAGGGCUACAUCAAAAUUACACUUUGCUUUGACUCACAAAAACCAAGAAAGAUGGGUCAAUGGUGGCUGUCAUGCACUGCACCCCUUCCCACUGCUGUCCCUUGGAAGGAGCCUUUGUUCAUUUUUCCUCAUUUCUGGCUACUCACCAGGAAGGGCCAGUGAAGCCCAGGGAAUCUUCUUCGAGGUGAUCUUCUGCAUUGUU